AUACACAGAAGUCGUGGAGAUAAGGCUGCGGGUGAAUGAUUGAUUGUAGUGAAGACUUUGGCAUCAAAAACCAGGAGUUGUGACCGGCAGCUCAUGUGCAGGAGGUUUGAAUGCAAAGCUUUAUUAACAACUAUAGAGGAUCUUGGGUUUUACUUCCAGCCGCUGGCAUAGAAUCCUCCCUCUACGCAUCGGUGGGGGUGGGGGGGGCGUGGCUUCUGUCAUAGUUGAACCGUGGAGGAGGAGCCAACUUGUGUUCAAGAUGCCGUCAGCGUAAAUGUAUCCAUUUACCAGGAACCGACACCUUCUUCAUCAUCUGCCCAUCGCUUCUCUUAGUCUUCAGCAUCGUCAACUCUCUCGGCGGAGGUGUUCGUGUGUUCACGGAGGCUUUCACCAGCAACAUGGCCUCGGCAGAGAUGAUGAGCUCCUUGUUAAAGUCACGGAAAACUCUCGUUCCCACAGACGGAGGAACCGAAGGGGACAUUUGAGGCGUGAAGCACAACGACCGAAUGUUCAUUGAAAGCAUCCAGAUGAACUGACGUGACGAGCACUGUUUUUUAAGGUUAUGAAAGAGAAUGGGAACCGUUAUGUGAAUGUAAUGUUACUAAAAGAAAUAUGGAGAUGGAUUCGAAUAAAAAAUCUGAAUGGGUGGAAACAGAA